AUCCCUGUGAGGAGGCAAAGACCUCAGAUAGGAAGUGCCGUAUGACACUGUAUGCAGCCAUGUCAUCUUCUUUCCAACUCUUCUUCACUUCAUCUUCUUCAACCACCUCUUCAUAAAUCUAAUUUAUUUUAGGUAGAAUUGGUGCAGUUGAUUCAGUACAGCGAAGGAGUUGUUUUUGGUAUAGAGUGACUGGCUGCGUGCUUGAUUUUAAACGGGUCACUGAGGGUU